rnacentral:rRNA from 1 species
AGGUCUGACGCAGAGCAGACUAGGAGCUUCGCUCCUCUGACGUUAGCGGCGGACGGGUGAGUAACACGUGGAUAACCUACCUAUAAGACUGGGAUAACUUCGGGAAACCGGAGCUAAUACCGGAUAAUAUAUUGAACCGCAUGGUUUAUUAGUGAAAGACGGUUUUUCUGUCACUUAUACAUGGAUCCCGGCCGCAUUAGCUAGUUGCCUAGGUUUCGGCUUACCAAGGCCACGAUGCGUUCCCCACCUGAGAGGCGGAUCGGCCUGACUGGACCUGAUCCCCGCUGCAGACUGCUACGCGUAGCGCAGCAGGGAAUCCUCCGCCAUGUCCAAUUGCUGACGGAGCUUCGCCGAGGGAGUGGUGUACCCUUCGCCUGCAAAAAUUACGAA